CUUCCCCUUCCCCUUGCCCAUGAGGGGGAGGGGGAGGCUACCGAUGUGGCCCCUUAUGGAGAAGGGAGGGCGUGAGGUGGCUGCCGUUCAGGGUAGCUCGCCAGCGUUCUAGGGACACUUCUGCCUGCGUGGGCUGGCAAUUAGCGGGUCAGCCUUCCGAGGGCAAGCGGUGCGGGUUCGAGUCCUGCCGGCGGGGGAUGCCCUGUGGCUUUUCCACGGGGACCGACCCCAGCGAUGUUCUUUCUUGCGGCAGCAUCAGAACGAAUGCGCACGUCAGAGAAAAAUAAAAACCUCUCGAUAAGGAAAGGAUAACCGUAGCCUCAGUGACGCAUAGGUAUUUCUUCAUGUGCAGCUCCACAGCAGCUACGGAAGAGAUCGACCUGCAGUUUCCGGAGUGAAAGAGCAUCUUGCGUCCAUUGCAGGAGGAGCAAACAUCACACUGCAGACCCAAAUGAAUGAGUGGUCAGGGGUGGACCAGUCACAGUGAUAUUCCGUCUGAAUGCAUCCUCAUGGGGUUGCAAAACAACUCAUGAAUAACAGCCUCCCCAGCCUCUGCAAGCAACCAAGUUGAGCUUUACCAAGGACGAGAGCACUCCAAAUGCUCCAGGCAGCCUAAGCCCAGUGCUCGGCUAGGCUCUGCGGUCCAGCUCAACAGGAAUUAGACUCAGGGUAGAGAAGAAUCUAACGGAGAAUGUCUGAAUAUUAAGCCUCCCCGUUUUUGGUGUGAUAUGAAAUGCAUUAUUCAGUACUCAAAAGUAGGACUACUCCAGUAAGUGCAGGAGCCAGAUGGGUCUCUGUCUGUUUUCUCAAGACUUUGCUUCCUGCACAAGGUUGGCUAGAACUCAUCUCUUUGAAGUCACCUCCAGAAAGGUCAUUUUAGCAACCAUCCUUUUGCUCACAAAUGUCAAGUCUGUGUUCCAACACAACACUAAAGGUCACAAAUGGGGAGGGGGAAUCAAAAGGGGAAAAGACAAUCAUUUCUCAUUAGAUAUUUAAAAGAUGUUUUAAAAAUUUAAAUCUGUCUGGGUUUCUAAAAACGAUAAGCAAUGUUCCAGUUUCAGCGUUCACUGAUGCAUGAACUGAGGGGGAAGGAAGAAUCUCCUUUGAGCGAAGCACAAGCAGCUCUUGAUUGACAAAUAAGACUCUGUCAAUCACACUCUGAAUUUUUUACCAAGCAUUUGGAAAUGAAACACAAACCAGUUUAGACACUGAACAGAAGGCAGUUUAUGGAAUUGGCAUAAAAGGAAAUUUAUCCACUUUCAGUAAUGGAACAGUUGUACAGUACUUGACAAUUAGGCUGAGAUGAAGACCAAUUUAAUGUUAUAUUGUAAUCUAUCAUCUAAAAUCUAACCCAAGAUAAACACAGCUACAGUAUUAAAAUAUUAUCUGUAAAAUCAUUUCCUACACAAAAUGCUGGACUUUCUAAAAAACAAAACAGUUUGAACAGGACUUUAAAAGCAGAGAUGGUUGAAAUAUUUCUGAUGCCUUUGGACCAAAAUACUCUUUCAGAGAAUCAUUGCCACUUCAAGAAUAAUGUUGCCCAAAUGGCUACAGGGGGUUUAAUUACAUCGUGACACUGCUUCUAUUGGCAAACCAUGUGCACUUGAGAGGCUGCUGAAAUUUUUCUGAUGUGUCAUUUUGAGGUUAAUUUGAAAGUUUCUGUUUGAGAGAAACUUCUGAGGAAUAUUGAGCUAAAUUUCUUGGUGAUGUGGAGUUUCAUUUCCCUCAUUUCCACCAAUUCUUACCUAUACUUGUAUUGCAACCUGAGUUUGGAAGGGGUUGUUCAAAAUAAAGUUCUCAAGAUAAUUCAGUGGAGAAAAGCCCCACUUUUGAUAAGACUGUAGAUUCCCCUCACAUGGAGCUGCAUCAUGGGAUGUAUGGGAAUAUCACAGGAAUGGAUUCCCAAUUGUGCAAUAGGAUGUCCUAUUCUUUGCACCCUUGUGCCUCCCAGAUCAGUUCUGCAGGUACUUCCACCCUCUGGAGCAUAUCUGGAGUGUGUGUAGGAGCUGUAUGGAGAGGAAGAAUCCAUGCUAUCCGCGGAUUCUGUUUGUUGGUAGGCAGACUUCAUUAGAUUCAGUCCUCUUAAUUUGCAACCAGGUUUAACCUAAACCAACAUUUUAUAGAAAAUGUGGACAAACAUGGGGUAGGGAAGAAUUCUAGUAGGUCUAGCAAAAUUGCCUGGUGGAGUUCUAUACUCCACCGUGAAUCAUAUUCUGCACCCUAUCGAUUCAAGCUCACAAAAUGUUAUUCUUCAUUUCUUUCCACUUCCAUGGACUCAUUCCUAUGUUACAUCAUUUAUCUCUUCUGGUGCAUUAGUACCACUUGUAGUGGCCACAGCUAUCCCAUCUGUAAAUUAUCCACACAUUUGUUCCUUGCAGAAGCUGCUAUAAGCCACUUCUACAAACCAAUAUUGGGUCUGCACAGCUGUCCAGCUUUCAGAUGCUGGAGUUAAGAUAGGAACUGGAUUUUUAGUAAGCAUUUUGGAAGUCUUUUAAGGACCUCUACUAAAAGCAGGAAGGGAAAAAAUAAGUGGGACGGUUAGGCCAGACUCAGUUAUAUCCAUAGAAAAAGAAGGUUAUGGUUCUGCUGGGAUGACCACACUUGAUCACUGAUUCUACCCCAUUAAGAAAUUAAUAGGGCACAAGCCCAGCA